AUGGAGGUGCCGCCGGAGUGGCCGGCGGGCCGGGUCCGGGAGGCUUUCAUCGACUUCUUCACGUCCAGGUCGCACACGCCGUGGCCAUCGAGCCCCGUGGUGCCCGUCGGCGACCCCACGCUCCUGUUCACCAACGCAGGGAUGAACGGGUUCAAGGCGAUAUUCCUCGGCCUCGCCGCCCCGGGCUCGCCACUGGGCCGCCUGCGCCGCGCCUGCAACACGCAGAAGUGCAUCCGCGCCGGCGGCAAGCACAACGACCUGGACGAGGUGGGCAAGGACACCUACCACCACACCUUCUUCGAGAUGCUCGGGAGCUGGUCCUUCGGGGACUACUUCAGGGAGGAGGCCGUCGCGUAUGCGUGGGAGCUCCUCACCCAGGUAUAUAUAUCGGCUUCUUCUUGCCUUCAGCUAGCCCCUUCUCAAGUUGUGACCCCGUGCGUGGUAGAUUCUAUAGCUUUUUGA
rnacentral:rRNA from 1 species